rnacentral:rRNA from 2 species
UCUAGUAUAAGCACUAUACAGUGAAACUGCGAAUGGCUCAUUAAAUCAGUUAUCGUUUAUUUGAUAGUACCUUACUACUUGGAUAACCGUGGUAAUUCUAGAGCUAAUACAUGCUAAAAAUCCCGACCUCCGGAAGGGAUGUAUUUAUUAGAUAAAAAACCAAUGCCUUCGGGCUCACUGGUGAUUCAUGAUAACUUAACGAAUCGCAUGGCCUUGCGCCGGCGAUGGUUCAUUCAAAUUUCUGCCCUAUCAACUUUCGAUGGUAGGAUAGUGGCCUACCAUGGUUUCAACGGGUAACGGGGAAUUAGGGUUCUAUUCCGGAGAGGGAGCCUGAGAAACGGCUACCACAUCCAAGGAAGGCAGCAGGCGCGCAAAUUACCCAAUCCCAAUUCGGGGAGGUAGUGACAAUAAAUACUGAUACAGGGCUCUUUCGGGUCUUGUAAUUGGAAUGAGUACAAUUUAAAUCCCUUAACGAGGAACAAUUGGAGG